rnacentral:rRNA from 1 species
ACGCUGGCGGCAGGCUUACACAUGCAAGUCGAACGGUAACAGGAGAAAGCUUGCUUUCUUGCUGACGAGUGGCGGACGGGUGAGUAAUGCUUGGGAAUCUGGCUUAUGGAGGGGGAUAACGACGGGAAACUGUCGCUAAUACCGCGUAGAGUCGAGAGACGAAAGUGCGGGACCGCAAGGCCGCAUGCCAUAGGAUGAGCCCAAGUGGGAUUAGGUAGUUGGUGGGGUAAAGGCCUACCAAGCCGACGAUCUCUAGCUGGUCUGAGAGGAUGACCAGCCACACCGGGACUGAGACACGGCCCGGACUCCUACGGGAGGCAGCAGUGGGGAAUAUUGCGCAAUGGGGGCAACCCUGACGCAGCCAUGCCGCGUGAAUGAAGAAGGCCUUCGGGUUGUAAAGUUCUUUCGGUAUUGAGGAAGGUUGUUGUGUUAAUAGCACGACAGAUUGACGUUAAAUACAGAAGAAGCACCGGCUAACUCCGUGCCAGCAGCCGCGGUAAUACGGAGGGUGCGAGCGUUAAUCGGAAUAACUGGGCGUAAAGGGCACGCAGGCGGACUUUUAAGUGAGGUGUGAAAUCCCCGGGCUUAACCUGGGAAUUGCAUUUCAGACUGGGAGUCUAGAGUACUUUAGGGAGGGGUAGAAUUCCACGUGUAGCGGUGAAAUGCGUAGAGAUGUGGAGGAAUACCGAAGGCGAAGGCAGCCCCUUGGGAAUGUACUGACGCUCAUGUGCGAAAGCGUGGGGAGCAAACAGGAUUAGAUACCCUGGUAGUCCACGCUGUAAACGCUGUCGAUUUGGGGAUUGGGCCUUGAGCUUGGUGCCCGAAGCUAACGUGAUAAAUCGACCGCCUGGGGAGUACGGCCGCAAGGUUAAACUCAAAUGAAUUGACGGGGGCCCGCACAAGCGGUGG